GCAUAUCAAUAAGCGGAGGAAAAGAAACCAACAGGGAUUGCCCUAGUAACGGCGAGUGAAGCGGCAACAGCUCAAAUUUGAAAUCUGGCUUUCGGGCCCGAGUUGUAAUUUGUAGAGGAUGAUUUUGAUGCGGUGCCUUCCGAGUUCCCUGGAACGGGACGCCAUAGAGGGUGAGAGCCCCGUCUGGUUGGAUGCCAAAUCUCUGUAAAUCUCCUUCGACGAGUCGAGUAGUUUGGGAAUGCUGCUCUAAAUGGGAGGUAUAUGUCUUCUAAAGCUAAAUACCGGCCAGAGACCGAUAGCGCACAAGUAGAGUGAUCGAAAGAUGAAAAGCACUUUGAAAAGAGAGUUAAAAAGUACGUGAAAUUGUUGAAAGGGAAGCGUUUAUGACCAGACUUGGGCUUGGUUAAUCAUCUGGGGUUCUCUCCAGUGCACUUUUCCAGUCCAGGCCAGCAUCAGUUUUCGCCGGGGGAUAAAGGCUUCGGGAAUGUGGCUCCCCUCGGGGAGUGUUAUAGCCCGUUGUGUAAUACCCUGGCGGGGACUGAGGUUCGCGCUUCUGCAAGGAUGCUGGCGUAAUGGUCAUCAACGACCCGUCUUGAAACACGGACCAAGGAGUCGUCUUCGUAUGCGAGUGUUCGGGUGUCAAACCCCUACGCGUAAUGAAAGUGAACGCAGGUGAGAGCUUCGGCGCAUCAUCGACCGAUCCUGAUGUUCUCGGAUGGAUUUGAGUAAGAGCAUACGGGGCCGGACCCGAAAGAAGGUGAACUAUGCCUGUGUAGGGUGAAGCCAGAGGAAACUCUGGUGGAGGCUCGCAGCGGUUCUGACGUGCAAAUCGAUCGUCAAACAUGGGCAUGGGGGCGAAAGACUAAUCGAACCUUCUAGUAGCUGGUUUCCGCCGAA
rnacentral:rRNA from 1 species